rnacentral:tRNA from 1 species
UCUUCGAUAGCUAAAGUUAAUAGCGUGGUCUUGAAGAGGCUAAGGUGUUUCUAUAUUCUCGGAGAG